rnacentral:rRNA from 1 species
UCGCGUCCCCAGGUCAGGCGAGACC